UCUGGUAAAUUGAAUAUGGAUGAGGCAUAUAUCAAAUCCACUGUCAAAUCAAUUGCAGGUCUGCAGGCUUCAUGAGCACAUUCUUCAUCAACACAAGUUGAUACCUCCAACGGUGGAGGAUGGAGUUCUCCAGUAUACAAGUAACUCAAGAAAAACUGGAAUGCUUCAUAUCCAACCUUUCCAAAAGGUAACAGAUCACUCAAUAGAUAACUUGGUCUCCCAUAUUUCUUAAAAAUUUCACGGAAAAAACUGUUAUUUUCAGCUAGAAAACCACCAUUAAUGCUAACAGGGAUUCCGUCAACAACAAUUUCAGCAGCAUUAUAAUUGAUCAAGGGCUGCUCCAAAUUGGAGCUAAGCUGAGGUAAACUAAUCAACUCAAGACUAGGACUCACCUCAGAGACUGAGGGGGAGGAUAUGUUUUGGCUGAUCAAACGAUCUGGUGCAUAAGAAAAUGCAGUGGAUGUGUUCUGACUACGCCCGGCUUCAGAGCCUGAGAAGGUGGAUAUGUUUUGGCUGGUCAAACGAUUUGAUGCAUAAGAAGAUGAAAUGGACAUGCUUUGACUAAUUGAGUCAUUAAAUUCAUAAGAAGAUGAAGUAAAGCUAGAAGAUGAAGAAAAGUUCACAGGUUGUGAUGGAUCAUGAGGAAAAUAAAAAACAUCAUCCAUUGAUCUAGAAAACCCGGAAAGAAAAAACACUAGAAAACUUAAAUGAUGAAACCAGAUCUCUCCAAGAUAUACCCACAGCAGAAGUAAAACUGAAACAAGAAGCACCACCACAACUACGAGAGAGCCUUCCGUUUUAGUGUUUCCAAGGAAGACAAACAGAGAGGACAGGGACAACAAGAGUCUAAGUGGGUAAAGACUAAAGAUGAAUUCAUGUGCAAGUUCCGACGGUGUUACCUGGAAACUUCAAUUUUUUGCUUUGAAAGAAGAUCUGCAGAAAUUUUCCGGAGGUUUCCUUCACACUUCUUUAUUGACCUGAAGGUUUUGUGGAGCUGUAAAGCAAAAAAAUAAAGAAAUUAAAC
rnacentral:misc_RNA from 1 species